rnacentral:snoRNA from 1 species
ACGACCUUACUUGAACAGGAUCUGUUCUAUAGGCUCGUACCACUGUAUCCUUGAGUUCUAAGGAGACAGAAAACCAAGUCUGGUUGAUGAGGCAUGCCCAAUAGACAAGAGCAAAAUAGUCCAUUUUGGACUAUCGGAUUAGAAUUAGAACUAUCAGAUUGGAUUGCUUCUUACCAUUUUGGACAAUUAUGUCUUUGUCGACAUUUUCCCACAGAUU